rnacentral:rRNA from 1 species
AUGUCUUCCUCCUCUGCCUCCUUCCAAUCGACCCUCGGCGGUGGAGCCCCGGAGAAGCUAACCUGCGGCAACUAUGUUUUGUGGCGGACUCAGAUCACGCCACAGCUGUGGGGUGCCGGCCUCUUCCACUACGUGGAUGGCACAGCAACUGAGCCGGCCGAAGCCCUCACCACCAAGGACGCCGCCGGCAAGGAGACCACUGAGUCGAAUCCCCUUCAUCCGCUCUGGGUGAGGGAGGAUCAGCAGGUCCUCGGUUAUCUCCUCCAACACCUCUCCAAGGAAGUGCUCAUCACGGUGACCAUGAUC